rnacentral:tRNA from 1 species
AUCGUUCAAGAGGAGGGACUCAGCCUUCCAAGCUGAUGAUCUCGGUUCGAGUCCGAGUGUCUGCUCCA